rnacentral:rRNA from 1 species
ACGAACGCUGGCGGCGUGCUUCACACCUGCCAGUCGCACGGAAAGGCCCUGCUUUUGUGGGGUGCUCGAGUGGCGAACGGGUGAGUAACACGUGAGUAACCUGCCCUUGACUUUGGGAUAACUUCAGGAAACUGGGGCUAAUACCGGAUAGGAGCUCCUGCUGCAUGGUGGGGGUUGGAAAGUUUCGGCGGUUGGGGAUGGACUCGCGGCUUAUCAGCUUGUUGGUGGGGUAGUGGCUUACCAAGGCUUUGACGGGUAGCCGGCCUGAGAGGGUGACCGGCCACAUUGGGACUGAGAUACGGCCCAGACUCCUACGGGAGGCAGCAGUGGGGAAUAUUGCACAAUGGGCGGAAGCCUGAUGCGGCAACGCCGCGUGCGGGAUGACGGCCUUCGGGUUGUAAACCGCUUUCGCCUGUGACGAAGCGUGAGUGACGGUAAUGGGUAAAGAAGCACCGGCUAACUACGUG